rnacentral:lncRNA from 1 species
AUCUGAACUUGAGCUUACUAUCGGACCUCUGAAAGUAGAUCUAAGUCGGCUCUCCGAUAUUCUGAAUUGCUCGGCUCAUUGUAUUGUUCAACCCUUAUUGAUGGCAAUCUGAUCUCAAGUGGAAUCAUCGCUUCUGUUCCAUAAGCUAGAUUAAAUGAUGAUUCUCCCAUUGGUAUGUAAGAAGUUGUUCUGUAUGCCCAU